UUUCAUCAAUUUUCAAUAUAUUUUUAUCCAACUCAGUUAGCCUGGACAAACUUAUUAAAAGCCAACUAGUCUCUGAACCUUUAUCGAAUUAUAUUUCUGUACUGAAAAAUGAUUUUCAUCGCGGUGGAAUGGUUACUGGAUCUGAUUACCUUCGGCCUGCAUUGGAUGAUUUGGAAUUGUUGUAAAGCCCUACAGGUGCAGAUUAUCCCUUUUGUUUUGGUACUUGCCUGGAUACUCUUUUUUGGAAGGAAAUCACCAAACUCGCCCGCUUCAAACGGAUAUAAAACGGCCAAAGUGAAUCCAAUACGUCGUAAUAUGGAAGGGCAAACCUAAGGGCUUGAAUGCCCACGCACACACGCACACGAAGUUGGCAAAUAUUUUGUUGAGUUUGUUGUUAAAUCUCUAAACGAAUUACAACAUGAGUCCGUAUUCACUUGUUCCGCUCAAUCGGAGAGCGUUUGUCUUUUAAUUAACCAAGUUAAGUUUUUCGCUGGCUGCGCGAACUGGGGACCGAUGAGCUAACGACCUAGAGGAUUGCUCGCACCAAACUGCGGCGAUCGGAUAAAUUGAAUUUUUCAACAACCUGUCAUUCAGAAGGAAAAAGAUGCCAAAAACAGUAACGAACGUGAGAGAGCGAACAAGCUGAGGUGCGAAGCACACGGAUACCAUCGCAGGUUGAGAUACAGAUUGAAACGGAGGUGAACAAACAUAUACAGAUACAAGCAACGGUUGAAAUACAGAUACAGAUACAAAUUGAGAGAGCCGCCAAGUGCUAACCCCUUUUCAUUUCCUACCUUCUUGCCUCACUUGACUACGUAA